AUUGAACGCUGGCGGCAGGCCUAACACAUGCAAGUCGAACGGUAACAGGAAACAGCUUGCUGUUUCGCUGACGAGUGGCGGACGGGUGAGUAAUGUCUGGGAAACUGCCUGAUGGAGGGGGAUAACUACUGGAAACGGUAGCUAAUACCGCAUAACGUCGCAAGACCAAAGAGGGGGACCCUCGGGCCUCUUGCCAUCGGAUGUGCCCAGAUGGGAUUAGCUUGUUGGUGGGGUAACGGCUCACCAAGGCGACGAUCCCUAGCUGGUCUGGGAGGAUGACCAGCCACACUGGAACUGAGACACGGUCCAGACUCCUACGGGAGGCAGCAGUGGGGAAUAUUGCACAAUGGGCGCAAGCCUGAUGCAGCCAUGCCGCGUGUAUGAAGAAGGCCUUCGGGUUGUAAAGUACUUUCAGCGGGGAGGAAGGGAGUAAAGUUAAUACCUUUGCUCAUUGACGUUACCCGCAGAAGAAGCACCGGCUAACUCCGUG
rnacentral:rRNA from 1 species